rnacentral:rRNA from 1 species
GGUAGUAGUAAGUAUUCAAAUGAGAACUUUGAAGACUGAAGUGGAGCAAGGUUCCAUGUGAACAGCAAUUGGACAUGGGUUAGUCGAUCCUAAGAGAUGGGGUAAACCUGUUUGAAGGGUGCAAUUUGCACCGUUCAUCGAAAGGGAAUCGGGUCAAUAUUCCCGAACCGGGACAAGGCAGCUAACGGUAACGUUGACGAAUCCAGAGACACUGGCGGGGGCCCUGGGAAGAGUUCUCUUUUCUUUUUAACAACCUAUUGUCCCUGAAAGCGGAUCAACCGGAGAUAGGGUCUUGUGGUUGGCAAAGCAUCGCACGUCCUGUGGUGUCCGGUGCGCUCCCGGCGGUCCUUGAAAAUCUGGAGGAGUGAAUGCUGAGCUUGCCCGGUCGUACUCAUAACCGCAUCAGGUCUCCAAGGUGAGCAGCCUCUAGUC